GAUGAACGCUGACGGCGUGCCUAAUACAUGCAAGUCGACGGAUGUAGCAAUACAUUAGUGGCGAAACGGGUGAGUAACACGUAGGUGACCUGCCUUAAAGAGGGGAAUACCACUUCGAAAGGAAGUGACAAAACCGCAUAAACUUAUAGAGAUUAGAAGGCUAUAAGGAAAAGAGCGAUCUACUUUAGGAGGGGCCUGCGGCCCAUCAGCUAGUUGGUAGAGGUAACGGCCUACCAAGGCGAAGACGGGUAGGGGACCUGAGAGGGUGAUCCCCCACAAUGGAACUGAAACACGGUCCAUACACCUGCGGGUGGCAGCAGUAGGGAAUAUUGCUUAAUGGGCGAAAGCCUGAAGCAGCAACGCCGCGUGGACGAAGAAGGCCUUCGGGUUGUAAAGUUCUUUUAUAUGGGAUGAGGAAGGACAGUACCAUAUGAAUAAGUCUCGGCUAACUACGUG
rnacentral:rRNA from 1 species